rnacentral:rRNA from 1 species
AGUGAACGCUGGCGGUGGGCCUAACACAUGCAAGUCGAACGGCAGCACAGGAGAGCUUGCUCUCUAGGUGGCGAGUGGCGGACGGGUGAGGAAUACAUCGGAAUCUGCCCAGUCGUGGGGGAUAACGUAGGGAAACUUACGCUAAUACCGCAUACGACCUUCGGGUGAAAGAGGGGGAUCGCAAGACCUCUCGCGAUUGGAUGAGCCGAUGUCGGAUUAGCUAGUUAGCGGGGUAAUGGCCCACCAAGGCGACGAUCCGUAGCUGGUCUGAGAGGAUGAUCAGCCACACUGGAACUGAGACACGGUCCAGACUCCUACGGGAGGCAGCAGUGGGGAAUAUUGGACAAUGGGCGCAAGCCUGAUCCAGCCAUACCGCGUGGGUGAAGAAGGCCUUCGGGUUGUAAAGCCCUUUUGUUGGGAAAGAAAUCUUUCAGGCUAAUACCCUGGGAGGAUGACGGUACCCAAAGAAUAAGCACCGGCUAACUUCGUG